ACUACGGGAGGCUGCAGUGGGGAAUAUUGCACAAUGGGCGCAAGCCUGAUGCAGCCAUGCCGCGUGUGUGAAGAAGGCCUUCGGGUUGUAAAGCACUUUCAGCGGGGAGGAAGGCGGUGAGGUUAAUAACCUCAUCGAUUGACGUUACCCGCAGAAGAAGCACCGGCUAACUCCGUGCCAGCAGCCGCGGUAAUACGGAGGGUGCAAGCGUUAAUCGGAAUUACUGGGCGUAAAGCGCACGCAGGCGGUCUGUCAAGUCGGAUGUGAAAUCCCCGGGCUCAACCUGGGAACUGCAUUCGAAACUGGCAGGCUAGAGGCUUGUAGAGGGGGGUAGAAUUCCAGGUGUAGCGGUGAAAUGCGUAGAGAUCUGGAGGAAUACCGGUGGCGAAGGCGGCCCCCUGGACAAAGACUGACGCUCAGGUGCGAAAGCGUGGGGAGCAAACAGGAUUAGAUACCCCUGUAGUC
rnacentral:rRNA from 1 species